rnacentral:rRNA from 1 species
AGCGUAGACGGCACGGCAAGCCAGAUGUGAAAGCCCGGGGCUCAACCCCGGGACUGCAUUUGGAACUGCUGAGCUAGAGUGUCGGAGAGGCAAGUGGAAUUCCUAGUGUAGCGGUGAAAUGCGUAGAUAUUAGGAGGAACACCAGUGGCGAAGGCGGCUUGCUGGACGAUGACUGACGUUGAGGCUCGAAAGCGUGGGGAGCAAACA